AGAGCGAACGCUGGCGGCAUGCUUAACACAUGCAAGUCGCACGGUCGGCAACGGCAGUGGCGGACGGGUGAGUAACGCGUAGGAAUUUAUCUAUUGGUGGGGGACAACCGUGGGAAACUACGGCUAAUACCGCAUGAAGCCUGAGGGCCAAAGGUUUGAUCGCGAGAUUUGACCGCCGACUGAGGAGCCUGCGUCUGAUUAGCUAGUUGGUGGGGUAAAGGCCUACCAAGGCUUCGAUCAGUAGCUGGUCUGAGAGGAUGAUCAGCCACAUUGGGACUGAGACACGGCCCAAACUCCUACGGGAGGCAGCAGUGGGGAAUAUUGGACAAUGGGCGCAAGCCUGAUCCAGCAAUGCCGCGUGUGUGAAGAAGGUCUUCGGAUUGUAAAGCACUUUUGGCAGGGACGAUGAUGACGGUACCUGCAGAAUAAGCCCGGCUAACUUCGUGCCAGCAGCCGCGGU
rnacentral:rRNA from 1 species